rnacentral:rRNA from 1 species
CGAUGGCGACCGGCGCACGGGUGAGUAACGCGUAUGCAACCUGCCCGAUACCGGGGUAUAGCCCAUGGAAACGUGGAUUAACACCCCAUAGUACUUUUAUCCUGCCUGGGAUGUGAGUUAAAUGUUCAAGGUAUCGGAUGGGCAUGCGUCCUAUUAGUUAGUUGGCGGGGUAACAGCCCACCAAGACGACGAUAGGUAGGGGUUCUGAGAGGAAGGUCCCCCACAUUGGAACUGAGACACGGUCCAA